GCCAAUCAGGUUUAUGAUGGCUUACACCAAACAACUAUGCCAUUUUUCCGGAUAUCGGCUAAAAAAGACGAUUUGAAGAAGAAUAUUUUUUUAGUACAAAACUCGCCAGUAAAAUGACUAGGAAAAUGAAACUACUCGGCAACGAAGGAGUUUGAUCUCAAUAUCUCCUCGCCAUUUUCCUGACUUAUGUAAAUAGCUAGUAAUUUAUCUCGCUAUUUCGCAACUGUUUAUUGUGCUAAUUAAAGAAGAUUACAGUGAAAAACAAGGUGCGAUGUGUCCAAUUACAACAGAGCUAUACAAGUGUCGAAAACCAUGAAGUUGUUACUGUUCAUAAUCAUUUGGGCAAGGUCUUCUGGUGAAAUGACUACUACAACGAAUCCUUGUCCAGAGGUAGACUGUUGGGGCGGAAUAUGGGUUGAUGUAGAUGAACCGUGCUUGGCGUGUGUCUUCCCUGACACUUGUGUAAUGUUCGGAUGUGAUGAUCCGCAAGAUUUUUGCUUUCAGUACAAUCAAAGCUUUCCGAUGGAUCAAUACGCAGUGCUUGGUGAAUGCCGUAAGAAUCCCUGCACGGAAACACCUCUGUUAAAUGCGAAUCAGUUAACCUCAGUUUGCAGUUGUGCCCAUCAUUGUCCGACUGGAUACAUUUGUUCUGAAUCCGUAUGUUGCGAGUCACUUCAGACGAGUACUCAAGCUUUGUGAAAAAAUAUGUAUUUAUCAAAUCAAAUUCGUCUUGAUUUAUUUCUGUAAUACCUACUGUCUUGAUUCGGUAAAAUGGUAUACCUACUUCUUCAGUUGGUCUUUUCUUUGAGUUGACAACAUUACUGAAGAACGUUUUGUAAUAAGUAGAUAAAGAACAUAUAAUAUGAAAGGUCUUCUUAUCAUACCACCUCCCUGUUCUCUGCGUAUAUCAUAUUUAGAGCGAUUGCAACAAAGUGAGAUGUGUUUACGACAUUGCCGCUACGAAUCAUGAACAUGAAGCUUUCAAUAAUCUUAACUAUUUUAACCGUGUAUUGCGCUGAAAUACGCGCAGAAUCUUCAACUUUUCCUCCUGCUACUAGUAUUGGUCCUUGUCCAGGAAAUAGUUGUGAUGGGGGAUUAUGGGUACAUCACGGAGGACCUUGCUGGGAAUGUAUUUACUAUGACACUUGCGAAAUGUUCGGAUGUCCCGAACAAUUGUUCUGUUUCCUAUACAAUAGAAGCUUUCCGCUUAAUCAAUACGGCGUUGAUGGAGAAUGUCGAAAAAAUCCGUGCGUCGGAAGACCUCUGUCAGCUGGAGGAAGAUUAACGUAUGUUUGCGAUGACACCCAAAAAUGUCCGAAUGGAUACUCUUGUAUCGAGUCCGUAUGUUGCGAGUCUCCGAUGUCUAGUACUGAAGCAGCUUUUUGAAAAAUUUGUUGUAAAAAUUAGGACCAUUAAAUUUUAAGCACAUGUU